AGACUAGUCAGAACAUUUCUAGGCCAACUAACAGAUAUCUCUUGGAAUAAAUAUUAGAAGGAAUAAAAAUCUCUACUUAACUUUAGUUAUAAAUCUUUACUUAUAAUCAAUAUUUUUUGUAUUUUAUUUUGUCUUAAGUUUGGCAACUCUUUGCCCUCUUUUAUUCAUCCUCUGGCUCAGUCACCUCUAUUACCUUUUUUUUUUUUUUUUUUGUCUCUUUCGUUUUUAUCAGUACCAGGGAUUGAACUCACGGCUGCCUGCUUGCAAGGCAGGCACUUAUGCCGCUGAGCUAAAUCCCCAGCCCCAACCUCUAUUACCUUUUGUUAUCUAUUUUGUUUUGUUUUGUUUUGUUUUUUUGAGCCAGGGUCUCUAUGCAAUUCGGGCAGGCCUUGAGCUCACUUUGUAGCCCAGGCUAGUCUGGAACUCGCAAGGAUCCUCCUGCCUCAGCCUCCCAAGUGCUGGGAUUAUAGGCAUGAGCCACCAUGCCCUGCAAGCCACCAUGUCCGGCUGUUAUCUAUUUAGACUUUUUUUUUUUCUUUUUCUAACAACUUCUAUGGGACCUCACUCUGCAAGAGACAGCCCCAAAGCAGCUCUUAUUGUUCUUUUUAUUUUGCCAUUGACUGGCCAGACCUUAGGAUUUAUUUUGUCUCCAGGGUGUGAGUGGUGUUACCUGCCUGAUUACAUGUAUUACAGUAUUUAAACAGGAUAAAAUAUCUCUCCUCAGCAGGGAAACUGGAAUUUCAGGCAUAAUUAAAAAUGAAUAAGUAAACAGAAAGUCAUGUGAGUUACAGGCUAUCAUGGUUUAUGUUGUUGGCCCCCAGGCCUCAUGCAUUUGCAUUGUACAUUUGUAUUUGUUUUCUUUUUUUUUUUUUUCUUUUUGGUCUUUUUCGUUUUUAUCGGUACCAGGGAUUGAACUCACGACUGCCUGCUUGCAAGGCAGGCGCUUAUGCCGCUGAGCUAAAUCCCCAGCCCUGCAUUGUACAUUUGUAACUGGUUCCUUGUCUAGAGCUUGGAUUGAUGGUGUCAGUGCUCCACCCAUCUAGGGGUGGAGCCAGCAUGUAAUGUAAUGACAGGAAGGAGGUGUGUUCUCUCUUGCCAGUUUUCUGCCUUGCUGUUGGCAGCCUCCUUGAACUGAGGCCCUGCCAUGCCACCCUGCCUUGGAGCCAGCUGAGUAUGGACUGAAACCUCCAAAAACUGAAUCUCUCAAAUUGAUUAUGCUCCAGAGUAGUAGGUGGUUGCCAUCGGAGGAGACCAGAAGAUAAAAUUCAGCUGACCUAUCCACCCUAGAGAUCACUUUUAAAGAUGCACAGAAGCACAACUGACCUGAAGAACUUUACCCUGGUCCCUGGGGCAAAGAAGUCUCCAAGUAUGGAACUCAGGACCUCACACUUGCCAGGCAGGCGCUUAUGCCACUGAGCUAAAUCCCCAGCCCGGAUCAGCUUUAUCCUAUGUUGUUUUGUAUGAAUUCUCUAUAUGCGAAGAUGUGGACAACUAUUUGGAAGAAAACAAGAGACAAUAUGAUACAUAGUGAAGAUCUUAGGUUGUCUAGCUUUGAAAUUUAUAUCUCUUACAUUGCUUUCUUAUGUCCUAUUGUGUUGUUUUGUUGUGUUUAAUUUUACCCCCUUUAAACAUUAAAAAAAAAAAAAAAAAAAAAAAAAAAAAACAA